rnacentral:rRNA from 1 species
UACAGAGGGUGCAAGCGUUGUUCGGAAUUAUUGGGCGUAAAGGGAGUGUAGGCGGCUUUCUAAGUCUUCUGUGAAAUCUACGGGCUUAGCCUGUAAAGUGCAGAGGAAACUGGGAGGCUUGAGUGUUGGAGAGGGCGGGGGAAUACCCAGUGUAGAGGUGAAAUUCGUAGAGAUUGGGUGGAACACCAGUGGCGAAGGCGCCUGCCUGGCUGACAACUGACGCUGAGACUCGAAAGCAUGGGGAGCAAACAGG